UUCGGCGUAGGCGUGUCGCGUGCUAUGGUCGCGCCUCGUCAAAUUGUCAGACUCCGUCCUCGCGUCAAGACUCGAACUGACAGGCUCUGAUACGUGUUCUGAAGUAUUCCCUUCAUUCCUAAAUCUACACUCCUGUUAAAAAAAUCAAACAUAAACUUUUUUAAAACCACGCAACAAACUGUGCUCAGGAAAACCAUGACCCUCCGAUCAAACUAACUUAAACACAUCCUAAUGUCCAUAUCUUUACCUAUACUAUACCUCUUUACCUAAAAAAGCCCCUGUAAUUUUUAUUAUUCAACCCGCGCUUCAUCAUUUAUC
rnacentral:lncRNA from 1 species